CAGGGGUGUGUGAGAGGGCGUGGUUUGAAUGGGGCGCUCUGGAAAAUUCGAUGGAUUAACUGGUUUUAAAAGGAAACGUCUUGAAAUAAAGGAUCCAGGGACCAAUGCCAGGAUCAUGUAUUGUUGUCCAGAAUGUCUACAGGACUUGCUAUAGGUGCGACAUAGGUGAGUCCUUUCUGGCCAAGAGGGAUGAAGCAUGGAUCAUCAUCACACACCACCAUGGCUGCAGCCUGUCAUUGUCAACGUCCCAGGUUAUCACAGUAGACCAAAGGUGACAUGGCGUGGGCAGUCCAAAUGAUAGGGAUGGAUGGCGAAGGCUGUUUCCCAUACAGCAACUACAACAGCAGCCAUCCAGACCAGGGCACGUACCUUCCCUGAAAGGGAGAUUAGGGUUUAGGAAGUGGAGCAGGCCUUUGAGAUGACAUGGCUAAAAUGAACCCCGUGCCUAGUGAAUGCGUGGUAUAAAUAGCUGACGGGAAGAUCUCCAGGUUGCAUGCAUCAUUAGUGACUGCACGUCACUAUAAACACUGUCAACAAACAUUGCCCGGCCAUUGUAAACAUGACACAGAUUGGGAUUUUUCUUGAUAUGAUGACUAGUAGUGGUGUACUAGUCAACUAUGUCAUGCUUACUGGGCUUUCGAUGUACACAAAGAUUUACAGUAAAGGCAACAAUAUGAAGCAUA